CACGUAGGGCGCAAGCGUUGUCCGGAAUUAUUGGGCGUAAAGAGCUCGUAGGCGGUUUGUCGCGUCUGCUGUGAAAUCCCGAGGCUCAACCUCGGGCUUGCAGUGGGUACGGGCAGACUAGAGUGCGGUAGGGGGAGACUGGAAUUCCUGGUGUAGCGGUGGAAUGCGCAGAUAUCAGGAGGAACACCGAUGGCGGAAGGCAGGUCUCUGGGCCGCAACUGACGCUGAGGGAGCGAAAGCAUGAAGGAGCGAACAGG
rnacentral:rRNA from 1 species